GAUGAACGCUGGCGGCGUGCCUAAUACAUGCAAGUCGAGCGAACAGACGAGGAGCUUGCUCCUCUGACGUUAGCGGCGGACGGGUGAGUAACACGUGGAUAACCUACCUAUAAGACUGGGAUAACUUCGGGAAACCGGAGCUAAUACCGGAUAAUAUAUUGAACCUCAUGGUUCAAUAGUGAAAGACGGUUUUGCUGUCACUUAUAGAUGGAUCCGCGCCGCAUUAGCUAGUUGGUAAGGUAACGGCUUACCAAGGCAACGAUGCGUAGCCGACCUGAGAGGGUGAUCGGCCAAACUGGAACUGAGACACGGUCCAGACUCCUAAGGGAGGCAGCAGUAGGGAAUCUUCCGCAAUGGGCGAAAGCUUGACGGAGCAACGCCGCGUGAGUGAUGAAGGUCUUCGGAUCGUAAAACUCUGUUAUUAGGGAAGAACAAAUGUGUAAGUAACUAUGCACGUCUUGACGGUACCUAAUCAGAAAGCCACGGCUAACUACGUG
rnacentral:rRNA from 1 species